AGAGUUUUGAUCCCUGGCUCAGGAUGAACGCUGGCGGCGUGCCUAACACAUGCAAGUCGAGCGAAGCACUUUGUUUGAACUUUUCGGAGGGGACGAGGAAGUGACUGAGCGGCGGACGGGUGAGUAACGCGUGGGCAACCUGCCUUACACAGGGGGAUAACAGUUAGAAAUGACUGCUAAUACCGCAUAAGACCACAUUGCCGCAUGGCAGGUGGUAAAAACUCCGGUGGUGUAAGAUGGGCCCGCGUCUGAUUAGGUAGUUGGCAGGGUAGAGGCCUACCAAGCCUACGAUCAGUAGCCGGCCUGAGAGGGUGGACGGCCACAUUGGGGCUGAGACACGGCCCAAACUCCUACGGGAGGCAGCAGUGGGGAAUAUUGCACAAUGGGGGAAACCCUGAUGCAGCGACGCCGCGUGAGUGAGGAAGUAUUUCGGUAUGUAAAGCUCUAUCAGCAGGGAAGAAAAUGACGGUACCUGACUAAGAAGCCCCGGCUAACUACGUG
rnacentral:rRNA from 1 species